rnacentral:sRNA from 2 species
GAUCCGUUCCGUUCGGUGCGGCUCCUGUCCGAACACAGGCCACUGCCCGGAAAUGUCGAGAGACGCCAAUGGGUAGAACAGCCCUCUCCGGCUUAAGGGGACGGCUAAGGUGGCUGGGGUGCGGGGCGCGACGCCCCGGGCGCGGCAGCGCUCCCUACGUCGGACAGUGCUCAAACCACAGACGAGGGAAUGGACG